rnacentral:tRNA from 1 species
GGUCCGGUAGCUCAGUUGGAUAGAGCAACAGCCUUCUAAGCUGUGGGUCGCGGGUUCGAAUCCCGCCCGGAUCA